UGGGGUAUCGCCAAGCGGUUAAGGCCCCGGGUUUUGAUCCCGGUAUCGGAGGUUCGAAUCCUCCUACCCUAG
rnacentral:tRNA from 1 species